rnacentral:rRNA from 1 species
AUUGAACGCUGGCGGCAGGCUUAACACAUGCAAGUCGAACGGCAGCACGGACUUCGGUCUGGUGGCGAGUGGCGAACGGGUGAGUAAUGCAUCGGAACGUACCCGGUAGUGGGGGAUAACUACCCGAAAGGGUGGCUAAUACCGCAUAUACUGUGCGCAGGAAAGCAGGGGACCUUCGGGCCUUGUGCUACCGGAGCGGCCGGUGUCAGAUUAGGUAGUUGGUGGGGUAACGGCCUACCAAGCCUGCGAUCUGUAGCGGGUCUGAGAGGAUGAUCCGCCACACUGGGACUGAGACACGGCCCAGACUCCUACGGGAGGCAGCAGUGGGGAAUUUUGGACAAUGGGCGCAAGCCUGAUCCAGCCAUGCCGCGUGAGUGAAGAAGGCCUUCGGGUUGUAAAGCUCUUUCGGACGGAAAGAAAUCGCGCAGGCUAAUACCCUGUGCGGAUGACGGUACCGUCAUAAGAAGCACCGGCUAACUACGUGCCAGCAGCCGCCGUAA